CACUGCUCUUCUUCCGUGUUGUGAACCUCCUCAUUCUCCAGUUUAAUAAAUGACAUCCUUUCGUUGAACAAACUUGGAACACUCAUUCGUUCGUUACUUCAAUGAGAGAAAGAGAAGAAGAGAAUGUUCCCUUCAAGUCUUGAAUGGUACGUGCGAAUGCUUCUUUUUAUCGCGAAAAGCUGAAACGAUGGAGAAAGGAAUCGGGCAAGCAUGCUUUCAUCCUAAACUCGAUCCAAUCACUACGAUUCGAAGAGCCAAGAUAUAUGAGCGAGAGUUGAAACUGUACAUUUUCUUUCUCGCUCCCGUUUUUGCACAAAGUUGUCAGGGCCAGCAAUUCGUGGCCAAGCCUUGGUUACGGGGCUCGAACUUGAGACAUAUCACGGCCUCGUGGGUGUACUGAAUGGAUUUGUUCACUUUGGCCUUGAAGACUUCUUUAGAAAUGGAUCCAUUUUGCACAUCUC